AACGAACGCUGGCGGCAUGCCUAGCACAUGCAAGUCGAACGAGAUCUUCGGGUCUAGUGGCGCACGGGCGCGUAACGCGUGGGAAUCUGCCCUUUGGUUCGGAAUAACAGUUGGAAACGACUGCUAAUACCGGAUGAUGACGAAAGUCCAAAGAUUUAUCGCCAGAGGAUGAGCCCGCGUAGGAUUAGCUAGUUGGUGUGGUAAAGGCGCACCAAGGCGACGAUCCUUAGCUGGUCUGAGAGGAUGAUCAGCCACACUGGGACUGAGACACGGCCCAGACUCCUACGGGAGGCAGCAGUGGGGAAUAUUGGACAAUGGGCGAAAGCCUGAUCCAGCAAUGCCGCGUGAGUGAUGAAGGCCUUAGGGUUGUAAAGCUCUUUUACCCGGGAUGAUAAUGACAGUACCGGGAGAAUAAGCUCCGGCUAACUCCGUGCCAGCCGCCGCGGUAA
rnacentral:rRNA from 1 species